UGGGGGAUAUUGCACAAUGGGCGAAAGCCUGAUGCAGCGACGCCGCGUGGGGGAUGAAGGCUUUCGGGUUGUAAACCUCUUUCGCUAUCGAACAAGGCCCGCUUAGGGUGGGUUGAGGGUAGGUGGAGAAGAAGCGCCGGCUAACUACGUGCCAGCAGCCGCGGUAAUACGUAGGGCGCGAGCGUUGUCCGGAAUUAUUGGGCGUAAAGGGCUUGUAGGCGGCUUGUUGCGCCUGCUGUGAAAACGCGGGGCUUAACUUCGCGCGUGCAGUGGGUACGGGCAGGCUUGAGUGUGGUAGGGGUGACUGGAAUUCCAGGUGUAGCGGUGGAAUGCGCAGAUAUCUGGAGGAACACCGAUGGCGAAGGCAGGUCAGGGCCAUUACUGACGCUGAGGAGCGAAAGCAUGGGUAGCGAACAGG
rnacentral:rRNA from 1 species